rnacentral:tRNA from 1 species
GGAAUAUAGCAUUUUCAUUGUAAAUUAUUUCCCCUGCUAAGGGAGUAUGGGGUGUAGAGCCUCAUCGAGGGUUCGAAUCCCUCCGUUUCCGCCA